UGCAAGUCGAACGGAUCCAGGGACUUCGGUUCCUGGGUUAGUGGCGCACGGGUGCGUAACGCGUAUGCAACCUACCUUCCACAGGGGGAUAGCCCCGGGAAACCGGGAUUAAUACCGCAUGACACAAUCGGAUGGCAUCAUCUGAUUGUCAAAGUUUCGGCGGUGGAAGAUGGGCAUGCGUGCCAUUAGCUAGUUGGCGGGGUAGAGGCCCACCAAGGCUACGAUGGCUAGGGGUUCUGAGAGGAUGGUCCCCCACACUGGUACUGAGACACGGACCAGACUCCUACGGGAGGCAGCAGUAGGGAAUAUUGGGCAAUGGCCGAGAGGCUGACCCAGCCAUGCCGCGUGCAGGAAGAAGGCCUUCUGGGUUGUAAACUGCUUUUAUCUGGGAAGAAAACGCCCCUGCGGGGGUAACUGACGGUACCAGAUGAAUAAGCACCGGCUAACUCCGUGCCAGCAGCCGCGGUAAUACGGAGGGUGCAAGCGUUGUCCGGAUUUAUUGGGUUUAAAGGGUGCGUAGGCGGCCCGUUAAGUCAGCGGUGAAAUCCCAGGGCUCAACCCUGGAACUGCCGUUGAUACUGGCGGGCUUGAGUUCGGUAAAGGCGGGCGGAACUGGCGGUGUAGCGGUGAAAUGCUUAGAUACCGCCAAGAACCCCGAUUGCGUAGGCAGCUCGCUGUGCCGAAACUGACGCUGAGGCACGAAAGCGUGGGGAGCGAACAGGAUUAGAUACCCUGGUAGUCCACGCCGUAAACGAUGAUUACUCGAUGUUGGCGAUACACUGUCAGCGUC
rnacentral:rRNA from 2 species